AAACCAAGAAAUUUAGUCAUUUUCUCAUGGUAAAAAGACAGUUAGGCAAAUGACAAGCAAGAUUAUUAGACCUUUAGUAAAGGAGUAAAAUCUAAAUACUAAAAGUUAUACCGGGUGUAGUCUACCUAAGAUGUUGAAUCUGUGACAGCUUUAAGGGAAACUGGGAUUGGAUACCCCAUUAUUUUUAGUUAUAAAUUUAGUUUAUGCUUACCAGAGUACUACGAAUAAAAAGUUUAAAACUCAAAGGGCUUGGCGGUGUUUUAGACCUCUCAGGGGAACCUGUCUCGUAAUCGACAAUCCACGUUAAACCUAACCUUUUGUAGUAGCACAGCCUGUAUACCGUCGUCGUCAGGUAACUUCUUAAAAUAUAGUAGUUAGCAUGAGAAUUUUAUAAAUUAAAACGUCAGAUCAAGGUGCAGCUAAUAAAAAGGUGAGGAUGGGUUACAAUUACAUAUUUGUAAAUACGGAAUAACACUUGAAAUGAAGAGUUUCAAAGGAGGACUUGAAAGUAAUUUUGAUUAUAUAGACAAAAUGAAUACGGCUCUGAAACGUG
rnacentral:rRNA from 1 species